GAAUUGUUCGCAAUGGGCGCAAGCCUGACGACGCAACGCCGCGUGGGGGAUGAAGGUCUUCGGAUUGUAAACCCCUGUUGGGUGGGACGAACAUUGCCGUUGUGAACAGCCACGGGAACUGACGGUACCACCUGAGGAAGCCCCGGCUAACCCUGUGCCAGCAGCCGCGGUAAUACAGAGGGGGCAAGCGUUGUUCGGAAUUACUGGGCGUAAAGGGCGCGUAGGCGGCCUGUUAAGUCGGACGUGAAAUCCCUCGGCUCAACCGGGGAACUGCGUCCGAUACUGGCGGGCUUGAAUUCGGGAGAGGGAUGUGGAAUUCCAGGUGUAGCGGUGAAAUGCGUAGAUAUCUGGAGGAACACCGGUGGCGAAGGUGGCAUCCUGGACCGACAUUGACGCUGAGGCGCGAAAGCCAGGGGAGCAAACGGG
rnacentral:rRNA from 1 species